rnacentral:rRNA from 1 species
CCUACGGGUGGCAGCAGUGGGGAAUAUUGCACAAUGGGGGAAACCCUGAUGCAGCGACGCCGCGUGAAGGAUGAAGUAUUUCGGUAUGUAAACUCCUAUCAGCAGGGAAGAAAAUGACGGUACCUGCCUAAGAAGCACCGGCUAACUACGUGCCAGCAGCCGCGGUAAUACGUAGGGGGCAAGCGUUAUCCGGAUUCACUGGGGGUAAAGGGAGCGUAGGCGGUAUGGCAAGUCUGAUGUGAAAACCGGGGGCUCAACCCCGGGACGGCAUUUGAAACUGCCGAACUAGAGUGUCGGAGAGGCAAGUGGAAUUCCUGGUGUAGCGGUGAAAUGCGUAGAUAUUAGGAGGAACACCAGUGGCGAAGGCGGCUUGCUGGACGAUAACUGACGUUGAGGCACGAAAGCGUGGGGAGCAAACAGGAUUAGAUACCCGAGUAGUC